GAAACAAACACAAACGUGCACGUUGCCAACGUGGACACUUUUCGCGGGAUGACUUUUGAACGUACCUGCGAGUGCGUGUUGGGUAGGUGUGUCGGCUGCCUCUGCGCUGCCGCCCUGCUGGAGGAAGAGGGCGGCUCCCUUCACCACGAAGAAGCUCUCCUUGAGGCUAACGACAACAACGACAACACAUAUCGGACGCGUCCACGUACCUCCCCCGCGCUGCUGCUCGAGGAUGCUGCACUCGGGCUGGGGCAGCGCUGCAGAGUCACCAGGGCCAUAGCUGGACGUGGACGUGGAGGAGGAGGAGGGGGAAGAUGCGGGAAGAUGCGCCGAGUUGCCCUCCGCUGUCACCGGGGAGAAAAUGCCGAGUCAGGCCGAGCGACGCGGCUCCUCCACCGGCGCUUCCUGCAGAAGCAGGACGAGGAGCACAGGCGUGAUAGUGACGCCGCUCGUGUCACUCGCGUGCGCAUGGAUGGCGAGAGACAAACAGAACGUAGGUGCGUGCGCGCCCGCGCUCGAGCGCGUGUGCGCGCGACAUGCAGCUUUGUGGAUGCCGCCUCUGAUUGGCUGGCCUGGUUCGCGUCUGCGCUGUCAUUGGGCCAAUGUUGUCAAGGUGACUGGACAGACUCAGACCACAACCGCCCCACUAAAAUGAAUCAUAAUCAUGAUAAUAAUAAUACUAAUAAACGAUGAUGACACUU